GUGUCAGCAGCCGCGGUAAUACGGGGGGUGCGAGCGUUGUCCGGAAUCACUGGGCGUAAAGGGCGCGUAGGUGGUCUUAUAAGGGUGUGGUGAAAGCCCGGGGCUCAACCCCGGGUCGGCCGUGCCGACUGUAAGACUAGAGUGCUGUAGGGGCAGGCGGAAUUCCGGGUGUAGCGGUGGAAUGCGUAGAGAUCCGGAGGAAGACCGGUGGCGAAGGCGGCCUGCUGGGCAGAUACUGACACUGAGGCGCGACAGCGUGGGGAGCAAACAGGAUUAGAAACCCUCGUAGUCC
rnacentral:rRNA from 1 species